UACGUAGGGGGCGAGCGUUGUCCGGAGUUACUGGGCGUAAAGCGCACGCAGGCGGUCUGCUAAGUUUGGAGUGACAGUUGGUGGCUUAACUGCCAAAGUGCUUCGAAAACUGACAGACUUGAGGGCUUCAGAGGGACACGGAAUUCCGGGUGGAGUGGUGAAAUGCGUAGAGAUCCGGAGGAACACCAGUGGCGAAGGCGGCUCACUGGACCGGUUCUGACGCUGAAGCGCGAAAGCGUGGGGAGCAAACGGG
rnacentral:rRNA from 1 species